rnacentral:rRNA from 1 species
UACGUAGGGGGCAAGCGUUGUCCGGAUUUAUUGGGCGUAAAGAGCGUGUAGGCGGCCUGAAAGGUCAGCUGUGAAAACUCGAGGCUCAACCUCGAGACGCCGGUGGAAACCAUCAGGCUAGAGUCCGGAAGAGGAGAGUGGAAUUCCUGGUGUAGCGGUGAAAUGCGCAGAUAUCAGGAAGAACACCCGUGGCUAAGGCGGCUCUCUAGUACGGUACUGACGCUGAGACGCGAAAGCGUGGGGAGCGAACAGG